rnacentral:rRNA from 1 species
AUUGAACGCUGGCGGCAGGCCUAACACAUGCAAUUCGGGCGAGCGGCGGACGGGUGAGUAAUGUAUGGGGAUCUGCCUGAUGGCGGGGGAUAACUACUGGAAACGGUAGCUAAUACCGCCUACCAUCAGAUGAACCCCUAUGGUAGUGGCUUGUAGGUUAGGUAACGGCUCCCCGAGGCGACGAUCCCUCGCUGGUCUGAUAGGAUGAUCAGCCCAACUAGGACUUAGAGACGGACCAGACUCAUACGGGAGGAAGCAGUGGGGAAUAUUGCACAAUUGGCACAAGCCUGAUACAGCCAUGCCGCGUGUAUGAAGAAGGCCUUCGGGUUGUAAAGUACUUUCAGUCGGGAGGCGUUACCGACAGAAGAAGCACCGGGUAACUCCGUGCCAGCAGCCGCGGUAAUUG